GCCUGGGUGGCUCAGUAGCUGAGCAUCUGCCUUCCACACAGGGCAUGAUGCCGGGGUCCUGGGUUCAAGUCCCAAUUCAGGCU
rnacentral:tRNA from 1 species